AGUGACACUGACCUCGCACUUCCGUGCGUAAAAAUUGACAUCUGUGUUCAUUGUUGUUAUUUACUGUCAUAUUUACAAGACAAUUUUGCGAAAUUACCACAAAGUUAAAAUUAUUAAAUGAAAUAAACGGACACCGUUUAUAUUUGUGGUAUUAUAACGCGCUCUCAAAAAUACAGAAAAUCUAAAUGAAACAUGGGCGGGAAAGCGGAGAAAGGUACUCCGAAAUACAUCGCGAACAAAAUAAAGGCUAAAGGCCUCCAGAAGCUGCGCUGGUACUGCCAGAUGUGUCAGAAACAAUGCCGCGACGAGAACGGCUUCAAAUGCCACACGAUGUCGGAGUCGCAUCAGCGUCAACUGCUUCUAUUCGCCGACAACGCUUCCAAAUACAUCGAUCAGUUCUCCAAGGAGUUCUCUGACGGCUACGUCGAGUUGCUCAGCAGGCAGUUCGGUACGAAGAGGGUGAAUGCUAACAAAGUCUACCAGGAGUACAUUUCUAACAGAGAUCACCUCCACAUGAACGCAACGCAGUGGGAGACACUAACCGACUUUGUGAAAUGGCUCGGUCGUGAAGGGAAGUGUGUUGUCGAUGAAACCGAGAAGGGAUGGUUUGUUACAUACAUAGACAGGGAUCCUGCAGCAAUCGCCGCCCAAGAAGCAAAAGCCAAGAAGGAGAAGAUGGAUAAGGAUGAUCAGGAAAGAAUGUUGGAAUUCAUACAGAAGCAAGUGGAAAAGGGAAAAAAGGAGAAUGAUUCAAAUAUUGAACCAACGUACACGGAGCUCAAGAGAGAGAGUAGUCAGGAGCGAUUGACCUUUAAUCUCAACUUGAAGAGGAAAAAUGAAGAUAAAAAAUCAGAGGUCCUGUCAUCUUCGGCCUUGAAAUCUCUGAAGAGUAAAGAGGAUAGUAAGAGAAUUAGAAUAGAGGAGUCCACGAGCAGACAGUCAGCGCUCGAUGAAAUCAUGAAAAUGGAGGAGAAAGCUAAAGAGAAAGCUAAUAGAAAAGAUUAUUGGCUGACCGAAGGGAUAGUAGUCAAAAUAGUUACGAAAUCGUUGGGCGAUAAGUUUUACAAGAGGAAGGCGGUCGUUGAGCGAGUCAUCGAUAAAUACGGAGCCGAAGUGAGGAUCGUUGAUGAGAAGAUCAAGCUGAAACUAGAUCAGGUGAUUGCGAAGAAGUUUUGUAAAUGAAAAUUAGUAGUAGUAGUAGUAGUAGUAAUUGUGGAGGUGGUAGUAGUAGUACUUAGUUAAUUAAUUUGAAUAAGCGGUACUGGUGGUAGUAGUAACAUUAGUGGUGGUGGUGGUAACAGUGGUGGUAGUGGUAGUAGUAAUAGUGGUGGUGGAGGUGUGGUAGUAGUGGUCAUAGUUGUAGUAAUAGUAGUAGUGAUGGCGGAGGUGGUAGUAGUAGUAGUAGUACUUAGUUAAUUUAAAUAAGUGGUACUGGUGGUGGUUAUGGUGGUAAUAAUAGUAGUAGUACUUAGUUAAUUUGAAAAAGUAGUACUGGUGGUAGUAGUAAUUGUAGGGGUGUGGUAGUAAUAGUAGUAGUGCUGGUGGAGAUGAUAGUAGUAGGAAUACUUAGUUAAUUUAAAUAAGUGGUACUGGUGGUGGUUAUGGUGGUAGUAAUAGUAGUAGUGAUGGUGCUGAUAAUGGUGGUAGUAGUAGUGUGGUGAUGGUGAUAGCAUUUAAUUGUAGUAUAACUAAACACGGGAAAAAAAAUACCGAAAAAAUUGAAAUUCAACUAAAAAAUUCAAAAUGAACAAUAGUUUAAAAAAACUAGCAGAAUACGCUUUUAUAGAAAAUCCAACUAAAAAAUAGAAAAUAAAUUUUAAUAAAACUGAAUUAAAAAUAGUGUAAGAAUAAAUGAUUUUAUUGCAAAAAAGCGUGGGAUGCAUGGUAUCAGUAGUUAUAAAUAUUUUAUGAACAGAUAUGAGUAGAAUUGAAUUUUGAGAAUAUCCUGAAAAGCACCUCACGCUUUUUUGGAUUUUCUUUAAAAGCGUAUUUUAUUAGUUUUUUUCAACUAUUAUUUAUAUUUCAUUUUUUAGUUGAAUUUAAUAAAUUUUUUUAAUAUUGAAUUUUCAUCAGUUCUUAAUAAGUAUACCAAAUUUCGAGUUAACCCGACAUUUUGAAGGGGGUCAAAAUCAUUUUCAAAGAUUCCGUUACAAACUAACAUACAUACGUCUGAAGCUAGUAAAAGCGUAUUAAUAAAAAAAAGACAAUAAAUUAUACAAGACUUUAUUUGUUAUAGACAAAUUUAUUAAAUUUUAUCAAUUUGUGGUUUGUGAAAAUUCAUAAAAUCCUACUUUAAAAAAAAUAUAGGAUAGUUAAUAUGUUACUGACAUCUACAGGAGCAGUGACGAACUAAUCGAAGCGAAGCCAUCUAGUGGCCGACGCCCUUAAACAUUUUUGUUGAGUGCUUGAGUUGCUUAUCUAUAGCUAAUUUAUGUGUAUUAACUUUAACAUAUAAGUUUAGGGGCGUCCGCUACAAGAUGUCGCUAGUUUCCAAACAAAUUUUUUUUUGUCUUAAAGUAUCGAAAUUUCUACUACUACUACUACUACUACUACUACUACUACUGGUACUACUGCUUUUGGUACUAGCAGUAUCGACAUCAGUUUUCGUUGUUUCACGAUAGAUGGCGUUACUAGUAGCGCUAUAAAACUAAGCGUGUCUAAUACGAUUGUCGAUAGAACCAUCUGGAGACUGUGGUGCCAUCUUGCGGCCGUAAAGUUCGCGUCGUGAACGGAGCGUACCGGGGGUGCGUGGGCACGCUGCGAGACGUCCGCACCGACGCCUACAGCUGCGACAUCGAA